AGGAGACAUAGCUCUUUCAUCACUGACAAUCUGUGGCUCUGCCUCCGGCCAAAUCCCUUUGCUCCACCCUGCUGACACCUGCCCCCCAAACCUCCUGUAGGAACAGCUGUUUUGUAAGCCGCUUCCACAUGCCCACAUGUGCAGGCUUGAUUUUGCUUCAAAUAAUGUCUCUCCUUGGCUCCCUCUAUACUUUCUGUCUCUCUCACUUGCUCUGCCUUUCCACUGUUUAGAGGCCCCAGGGGUUGCAGUGAAGGAGGAGAAGGUAUGGAUUUGGACAGGGCCGCUGCUAGCCUACAAACAGCAUCUUAAUGCAGAUAAGAAAAAAGCACCCCUCUGGGCUGAUGUGGCCCUGCCACUGCACCCUGGGAAUGCAGAGUUCGAGCUGGACUUCAUCCUUGGGUGUUGCACAACCAGAACCAGCAACGCAAAGUUGGACAGGAGUUUAACCCGGCUUCUCUGCUGAUGAGCUACGUGAACUUGGGGAAACAAGCAACUGCCACUGCUACCAGGAAUCCUGAAGAAGAGGGCACGGCUGCUUAUGUCAAGAAGAGAAAGGAACCUGGCCACUGCCCCCCUAUCUGCCCAUUCUAUAAGGCUCAGUUGAAGGUCACUUCCUCCUACAAGACCCCACGAUAUUGUUUCUUCCUAAAUGUGCCUAAUAUUAGUCCACUUUGUACUGUACAACUUGAUGAGUAGGUAUGAAGCACAUGGUAAGUUCAAAGCCCAAAGAUGAGUAGGAGCCUAUUCCUGUGAUUACAGCAGGAUGGGGAAGGGAGGUAUGAGGAGACAGGGCACAAACAAGAGGAACAUGAGACAGAGUGUGGUAGGUCCACAAAGGUCUUCCUGGGGAGGGUUCCAAAGAGGGAAACAUCUGGUUGGGCAAUCAAGAAAGUCUUUCAUGGAGGAUGCUGCAUUGGAACUGAGCACUGAAGGAUGGGGAGUCGCUGAGAAGAGGGAAAGGCAUUCCAGAGCGUGGAACUGCAGGAACAAAGACUAGAAAGUGGAGAGUUGGACCACUCCUAGAAGGAGAGGAGGGCAGAGGAGGGGCGGGGCUGGAGGAAGCAAUCCAUCACUCACAUGGCAGGGGUCCUGCCAUGCGGGGCCUGAAAGUCAGGGAAGAGGUCAGCAUAGUUGUGUGCCCACAUUUUCAUCUUCCCUAUUAAAAUGCAAGCUUCUCAGGGCAGGGAACACACAGGACCUUAAUCUCUAUAUUCUGCACAGCAUCUGUCAUGGGGCCUGUCGUGUGGCUGGCCCCUAAGACAUUUGCUUGACUUGAAUUAACUUCUGGCUGAAAUUUGCCCACUACCCAAUAAGUGGAUACAAUGUUUGCAGCCUGUGGGGAGGGGAAAGCUGGGUAUCUUGGUGGAGGUGGUAGGAGUGGAAAGACAGAAGACACCUGUCCUUGAGGAACGUGCCAUCUAAGGAGGAGAUAAUACCACACUAUGUUAAUGUAUGCGGGGUCCCUGGCAAAAAACAAACAAACAAACAAACAAACAAAACCCUAGCAAGUGCAAUUGACUAUACACUCAGUACUGUGCCAAGGCCCUGAGGGGGUCCAGGAAGGCAGGUGGAGGCCUCCUGGGAGGAGUGGUGUUACAGGGCUAGAAGUCCACACAGAGUCCCAUUACAAGGCAAGUUCCUUCACUGAAACACGACAUUCCAUCACUGGCGACUCAACAUUGCCCCUUCCGAGCCUCCUCUUUCAACUGAUGGCAUCCUUGUGAGGGUCCCACAUGAGACCCUUGUGAGAGCACCCUUGUGAGACCACCAUUCCAGGGGACCAACUGCUUACAGCCUGCCUCCCUCCUAGCCAGCCCUGGGACACCGGCCCCUCCACGGUUGGAUGGAGGGAUGCUGUCUCGGGGUUUUUCAAGCUCUCCAGGCAGAGUGUAAGCAGUGUGAGACAGUGAGGUGUCGAGGAAAGAGCUUAAAAGCAUGAACACCAAGUCCAGAGUCCAGAUCCCAGCCCCUCACUAUGUGCUGAGUGAUCCCAGGCAUGUGAAUCCCUCCAAGUGAGCAACAAUUUCUGUUACCUGUAAAAGAGAAGCAGCAGUCCCUGCCUCACAAGUCUGUAAAAGUGCUCUGCAAACUGCCAGCGUCAGAAGACAGCAUUCCUGAGGGCAGGGGCUGUGCCCCCUCAGGUCCAGACAGAUGUUAGCAGGUGCUCAGGAAGCCGGUGUUGACUGAACUAAGUAAGGCUCCAGGGAGUGGUAAGGACAGGGGGCUACAGGCAGGGUGGAUGGGCUUAUUUCCUACCCAGUUUUGCUACAUGUUGGGCCAGGAGGCCUAUGAGGGGAACUGGGUGAGCCAGCUCUGGAUAAUCUCUUUAAAAGGCAAUUACAGAGCAAAACAGUCAACAAAGUUUGUCUGUUCCAGUCCAAGUUCACCCGCAUCACAAAACUACCUGGCUGGUGUAUGCUUUCUUCCUCCCUCUCUCUCUCCCUCCCUCUCUUGCUGCUGCUUCUCCUCCUUGCCUUGCUUCUUUGCUUUAUUCCCACUUUUAUUCAGCCACUACCAUCUGGCAGGUACCAUAGACCUCAACACCUUCCCACUCUCCACAGAGAUACUGGAUCAGGCCACUGCCCUCGGCCUCCGUCGAGUCUCCUGCCUCCCCUGCUCCAACUCCCUUCCUGUCUGUCCCUUGGUCCCAGAGCCUCCUGGAACCCGAAGACUAAGCAACAAAGGACACCCAAUUCUCACCAUGGGGAACAGUGCACACCUCUGCAGUCUUGCUGAGCUAGGAUGAGGUGGGCUGAGCCACCACACUCCCGAGUCCCUCCAUCCAUCAUCUUCUACUCUCUCUUCUCUGCUUCCCUGCUCUUCCCCUUUGCCCUCAGCUCCUUCUUCAUUUGAUUCGCCCUGCAUGGUAAUGAAUGCUCCUUUGCAAGCCUACAACCGUCCUUGUCCUUCCAUGUAACUCGCUUUCCCCUGAGCACAUGUGGCUCUUUUAUUAAUGGGCCUCUCACAUGCCACAGACUAAUGCUGCAGAUUCUCCCUUUCCGGCUUAGACAAAUUGACAGCAAGUUAGCUGCCCCAACUGAAACUGGCUUCUAGAUCCUUCUGUUUGGCUAUUUAAAUGAUGCUAUAAACCAAUUUCUGUCCCACCUUCUCCCUUGCCUCCCAGUUAAUCUCACCAUUCUCAGAUUCCCAAAAUCGUGGAGUGAUUGAGCUGGAAGAAAUUCUAGAAGACAACUCAUCCGGCCGGGCGCAGUGGCUCAUGCCUGUAAUCCCAACCCUUUGGGAGGCCGAGGCAGGUGGAUCACUUUGAGGUCAGAGGUUCGAGACCACCCUUGCCAACACGGUGAAACCCCAUCUCUAGUAUAAAUACAAAAAUCAACUGGGUGUGGUUGUGUGCGCCUGUAAUCCCAGCUACUCGGGAGGCUGAGGCAGGAGAAUCGCUUGAACCUGGGAGGCGGCGGCUGCAGUGAGCCAAGAUUGCACCACUGCACUCCAGCCUGGGCAACAGAGUAAGACUCCAUCUCAGAAAACAAACAAACAAAACCAAAAAAAAAAAAAACCACUCAUCUGUCUUCUUUCACGAAUGAAGAAACUGAGGCACAAGGCAUUCUUCUCUUGCCCAAGGUCACAAAGCAAGGCCUGGAGGCCCAGUACCCUUUGUCCAGACUGGCUUCCUCCCCUCUCCACAGCACUGUCUUCCACCUCCCUCCCUCCGAGAAGCCUAGGUUGUCAUUGCUCUAUCAGAUUUAUUCUUAUGCCUCAUCUCCCAGGACAACUUGGGGCAAUCUUUCAUUGUUGCCUUCUCUGCAGCAGAUGGGAGCAUGGGACUCUGGCACCGGGGUGGGGGCAGGAAGGGAUGGUGGGCAGGCUUCUCUAAUGCCCUAUGUUGGGGCCAUCACCCAGUUUGCCUCCUGGAAAGACUGGUUGUUUGUCCUCACGUUAGCCCCUCAGUUAACAGCCAUUAGCCAUUGGCUGCCUACCUAGCACCCAUUCUCCCCUUCUUCCUCCCAUUUGAUUUAGGUAUCCUUCCCUGUCCCAAACUGUAAGGAGCUUCAGAGGAGGCUGAGUCAGCCCCAGGUCCCAGGGAAUCCUGGGUGGUCCAAGGUCCCCAUGCCAAUAUGUGAUUUGGGACAGUGUGAGUGACCCCACUGAAACAAUGAGCCAUGAACUGAGGCCUGGAAUGAGGGGCUUGCUUCUCAGGAAAGUUUCCUGUCUCCUAAAAGGACGCUCCUCUCUCCUCUGGACAUGUCUGUGUCUGGUUGGGAUGCUUGGACUGCUGCAGCCAGCCCAGCUCCAGCCUGAGCAUGAAGCUGUAACCAAGUGGGGACACAGCAGAGAUGGAAAAGAUUUGGCCUCCAACCUCACCACUCCGGAAUCUUGCUAAGCCACGCAAUAACACAUUUCCGUUUUCUCACAAGACGUUUUGAUACAGGGUUUCUGUUGCCGAGAGUACUCUGGUACCAAGGCCCUGGGGAUCCCUUUCCUCUCAGAGGCAUUGUUGCACCAGUCCCCAGUGUCUACAGGCCCCCUCCCCAGGCCCCCUCUUCCUCCAGUGAGGCUGUGUGCUGGUCCCCAAGAGACCGUCAUCACGGCAGAUUUGCAGAGGAAGCACCACGCCAUUUCUCACAUCCUCCCACCAGGCCCCCAGCUGGUUCCUGCCACACGGUUGCCACUAUUCCCACUCCGUCUGGGACAUGGUUUUCUUGGCUGAUGCUCUCUUAUUAGCACAUGAUGUGGAUGCUGAGAUCCGUGCAUGCCUGUUGGCAAUGUUCUUUGGCAUCUCUAAUUCCAUGGCCUUCAAGAUUCUUCGAGUGCUUCUAGUACUAAUGCCAGCUAGGGAUGCUGGGCACAGGGAGCAGGUAGAAGGAAAAUCCUCAAGGUUGUGGUCUCCUCUCCACCUGUGUGUGGCCUUCAGAGGGGUGAAACCACUGACGUGUCCCCCGUAGGCUCUGGGCUUCACAGUUCCUCUCUGUGGUUCAGCCUGGGCUGGUCAGAGCUGACCCUUUCUAAACCCCAAACGUCUUCUCCCCCGCUGCAGUCUCCUCGGGUUCCUCCACCCAUCACCAGGCACUGUCUUCUGCAGGCUCCUGCCAAUCUGCCCACGCUUCUCACCUGGAUCCUUCAAACUGCUCUGAGAAUUCACCUCCCAACCCUUGUGCCUGCAGCUCUCUCCUCACAGUCACCAAUCUCCUGCCCUCACCGAAUUUCUCCUCUGAUGGCGUGCGAGCCUGUCAUCUCUCUGCCUCAUCAAUUUUUCCACCUUGUUUCAGAUCUCCAUCCCAAAGCAUCUUUCUCCCUCUCCUAAUUGUUUUUUCCCUCCGCUAUUACUUACUCAUUUAGCUCUGGAAAGCAUUUGGGGCUACAGUCAGGGAGAAGCAGUUUCUGUUACAAAAGCCCUCCUGGCCGGACACAGUGGCUCACGCCUAUAAUAAUCUCAGCACUUUGGGAAGCCGAGGCGAGCAGAUCACGAGGUCAGGAGAUCGAGACCAUCCUGGCCAACACGGUGAAACCCCAUCUCUACUAAAAAUACAAAAAAAAAAAUAGCUGGGCAUGGUGGCACAUGCCUGUACUCCCAGCUACUUGGGAGGCUGAGGCAGGAGAAUUGCUUGAACCCAGGAGGCAGAGGUUGCAGUGAGCCGAGAUUGUGCCACUGCACUCCAGCCUGGGCGAGCAAGACUCCGUCUCAAAAAAAAAAAGCCCUCCAUCCAUGUCUCCACUUCUGGGCUCAUCAGGGGAAGGAGGCACCGCCCCCCCCCCCAUUUCCACCCCUUCUCUGCUCUCUCAAUACAUUUCCUUUUCCUUUCUGUCUUUCCAUGGCCUCUACUCCUCAUCUGUGUGUGCACGCCUCUCGCUUUUGUCUCUGCUUCUCCUGUCCCUGUCUCUUCUAAAUAUUAAAUACCCCAAAUGGCUCAAUCCUCAUUUAAAAUCCUCUCCUCUUUCUUGGCCCCAAAACGUUGCUUGGCAAUGAACCCUCGAUUCUCUUGUUUUUAUAUUUUCAUUUGGUUCUUCAUUGUUAUUUUCUUUUGAGCUGUUUGCAAAUUGUUUAGGGGAAUGCAAGGCUCUGUAUAAAUUAAGAUGAAUCAGUUCUGACUCAGGGAGCUGUGGCUGAGUUCCUUCCCCCUCCCAUGACAUGAAAAUAAGAAUAUCUCCUACAUACACACCUGUAACCCUCAUCUCUCUCCAUGCCCCAGAUGACGGGAUUCCCAGGAUCCUCCCAGAUGCCCAUUUGUCUCUGAACUUCUGCAGCUUAAACUCUACCCCCCAAUAUAAUACCAGGACAGGAACCAUUAAAAUCCCAUGGAAUAGUUCUUACAAUCUGGAUUUUAUUCAAUGAAAUAAACACUUAAUUACAAACAAAAAAAAAAAAAAAAAAAAAAAAAAAAAAA
rnacentral:lncRNA from 1 species